rnacentral:misc_RNA from 1 species
GGCAAAGUAGAUCCAUCAGAUUACAAAACCAGGUGGGCCUCAUGGAUCAAAGCAGACUGCAGUUACAAAGAAGGGCCUACUUGAGUAGGCAAUUAAGUUUGCAAGAAUACUCCUUCACAUUUUUGUCCUAGGGAGGAUCCAAAGGGACUGGAAGGGUCAAUCACCCUCCUAAAAGUUUGAAUUUUAAUAAAUUUAUGUUGU